AUGAACGCUGGCGGCGUGCCUAAUACAUGCAAGUCGAGCGAACAGACGAGGAGCUUGCUCCUCUGACGUUAGCGGCGGACGGGUGAGUAACACGUGGAUAACCUACCUAUAAGACUGGGAUAACUUCGGGAAACCGGAGCUAAUACCGGAUAAUAUAUUGAACCGCAUGGUUCAAUAGUGAAAGACGGUUUUGCUGUCACUUAUAGAUGGAUCCGCGCCGCAUUAGCUAGUUGGUAAGGUAACGGCUUACCAAGGCAACGAUGCGUAGCCGACCUGAGAGGGUGAUCGGCCACACUGGAACUGAGACACGGUCCAGACUCCUACGGGAGGCAGCAGUAGGGAAUCUGCCGCAAUGGGCGAAAGCCUGACGGAGCAACGCCGCGUGAGUGAUGAAGGUCUUCGGAUCGUAAAACUCUGUUAUUAGGGAAGAACAAAUGUGUAAGUAACUAUGCACGUCUUGACGGUACCUAAUCAGAAAGCCACGGCGAACUACGU
rnacentral:rRNA from 1 species